rnacentral:lncRNA from 1 species
UAUGUUGACCUCUAAACUACAUUAUAGGGAAACUUAGUUUUUUAUUUGAGCAAGUUUGCGGGAAUUGUAUUAUAAGGAUGUAACCUGACUCUUUCUCUAAAAACCCAUUUGUAAAUUUAUACUUAUUAACAUACCAUUUAUCUACCUUUCACAAUCAACCUCUAUUUGUGACUAAAACCAUAACUUGCAAUUAUCUCCAAACUUGUUGUACAAUCUAUUCAUGCUAUUAUUCCUCCUUUAUGUGGAAAACUUUGUUUCGGUAACACCUCCACCAAUCCUUUGCCUCCCCGGU